GUAGUUCCAAGUUAACUUCAUUGAGAAUUGUCGGAAGAGAGGUUGUCUACUUCCCAAGUAUAAGAGUCAUGACUGCUGGCCGAAGUAGGCAAAGGUAUACUCAAAAGAUUGUCAAGCUUUGUCUUAGUAAUCUUGUUCUGUACUAGUUGAUAGGCUUUUGCUUACUGUGGCUUUGUCUACUUUUGUAAUGGCUCAUAUAUGAAGUAACACUCUUGUCAAAAA
rnacentral:sRNA from 1 species